CUAUGAGUGGAAAUAUUUUUCUGGAUCAAAACAGUCAGCACAGAAAAUCUGAAACAGGGGAUUCUGAAAACUGGAAACAAAAACAGCAAGAUACCAAAGUUUAGACACAAUGGAAAUUUGUGAAAUAGAAUUGUGUAGGAUCUAAACACAAUAUGAACUCAAACUAAAAUUAAAAAGGCACCAAAAGAGCAAAGAACAGCAGAUUCAAGCAA
rnacentral:lncRNA from 1 species